ACCAACAGGGGACUAUUUCACAUUCAAUCCACAAUGUCUACUCUACAGAGUGAUUUUUCAGUCUUAAGUAGAAUAUAAAUUCUAUGUGUUUUUAGAUGUAAAUGCAAGGAAAGGGUAUCAGUGGGUAUUAAGUAUUCCAUUUGUAUACUUUUUUUUUUUUUUACUUCUAGUUUAAGCCAAGUUUUCUACUUUAAUUUUUGGCACCAAGACCUUCCCCCAAGGUGGGGGUCAUGUUCAUGGUCCGUGCUGUCUGUCACGAGAAAAGAUGAGGAAGUCUAUGAUCUGAGCUCCAGCUGACUAUAAAGAAGCAGGAAAGUUACUUUGGCAGUGAUGUGAACGACUGCAGACACCACAAUUGAGAAAGAGGAACAUGGAAGGCUACUGUAAUGAUCCCACCCUCGUCACACCACACCCCCACACCUAAGUAACGGCCUAAAAAGGAGUUGUGAAUGUGCGAUCUAUGAGGUUUAAGAGCUAUUUCCUGUAUGAUGGAGGUCGUCUGACACGAAGCAAGUGUGCGAGCACGGAUCUUAAAUUUAAAUCAAUUUUGACUGAACCGUGUUAGAACUCAUCUCCCAAGAACAGAGGUGAUUAAUUGAAACAUCACCUUUGGUGGCCUACGCCCUCUGUCUCCCUCCGUAUGUCACUGUGUGUGAAGGACUGAGAUGCAGUAUCAGAAAUAGGAGGAGUAGCUAAAUAACUCCAGGCGAUGGCGUUGCACUCUU
rnacentral:lncRNA from 1 species